UAAAAUGUUUUAACUCUUCGUCUUAUUUGAAAUUUUUUUGUGAUUAAUAUUUUUAUUGUUACUAGAUGAUAAAACAUGAAUAAUAUUUUAUGCGUGAUUAAUUUUUUUAGUUUUUAUAUAAAAUUUUUAAAUAAGACGAAUGGUCAAACGUUAGACACAGAAA
rnacentral:pre_miRNA from 1 species